CGUGACGUCACGGUCUGUGCGGAUGACGCAAGGGCACGUGAUAAAAAGCGACCCGGCUCCACUAAGAAGCUCGGCGCGUCCCACCGGCGGAUCCGUCGGGGCCGCUCCCGCGAACUCACCUUCUUCAGUUCGUUCUCGGAGGCAGACGGAGACACGCCGAGGAUGUCGUAGAGCUUUGUAUCGACAACAUUAGCCAUGGCGUCGCUGCAGAUGUUGCUUCAGCGGGGAAGGUGGACGGACAAAGACCGAGCCGGUGGAAAAUGUUUUGCUCGCCUCCUGCCUCCACUUCCGAUCGCUCGUGGAGGACGGGCUCACUCACGGUCCACAAAGGAAGUGAAGAGCAUGCGGAAGCGGCUCAGUCGGCUCUUCUCGUCGGCCCACAUGCGCACCACGCCCACGCCGUUCUCCAGCAUGACGUCGUUGGCCACCGUACUGCAGAACUUGGCCUUCAGGUUCUCGAUGGCGCUGCUGCCGUCGUAGAUGGCCACAAAGUUCUUCUUGCACUCGUUGGAGUGCUCCAUCUGGUACUCCAUGAAGCGCAGGUAGAUCUGCAGCCAGACAGGUAGGGGAGAGGAUGAACAUGUACUGUACGUGAAUGGACAGACAGAUGUUAACAUUAGACAUGUACUGUACGUGAAUGGACAGACAGAUGUUAACAUUAAACAUGUACUGUACGUGAAUGGACAGACAGAUGUUAACAUUAAACAUGUACUGUACGUGAAUGGACAGACAAAUAAAUG